rnacentral:rRNA from 1 species
AUUUGAAAUCUGGCGUCUUUGGCGUCCGAGUUGUAAUUUGCAGAGGGCGCUUUGGCAUUGGCAGCGGUCCAAGUUCCUUGGAACAGGACGUCACAGAGGGUGAGAAUCCCGUACGUGGUCGCUAGCCUUUACCGUGUAAAGCCCCUUCGACGAGUCGAGUUGUUUGGGAAUGCAGCUCUAAAUGGGAGGUAAAUUUCUUCUAAAGCUAAAUACUGGCCAGAGACCGAUAGCGCACAAGUAGAGUGAUCGAAAGAUGAAAAGCACUUUGGAAAGAGAGUUAAAAAGCACGUGAAAUUGUUGAAAGGGAAGCGCUUGCAGCCAGACUUGCCUGUAGUUGCUCAUCCGGGUUUCUACCCGGUGCACUCUUCUACAGGCAGGCCAGCAUCAGUUUGGGCGGUUGGAUAAAGGUCUCUGUCAUGUACCUCCCUUCGGGGAGAACUUAUAGGGGAGACGACAUGCAGCCAGCCUGGACUGAGGUCCGCGCAUCUGCUAGGAUGCUGGCGUAAUGGCUGUAAGCGGCCUGUCUUGAAACACGGACCAAGGAGUCUAACAUCUAUGCGAGUGUUUGGGUGUCAAGCCCGAGCGCGUAAUGAAAGUGAACGGAGGUGGGAACCUUUCGGGGUGCACCAUCGACCGAUCCUGAUGUCUUCGGAUGGAUUUGAGUAAGAGCAUAGCUGUUGGGACCCGAAAGAUGGUGAACUAUGCUUGAAUAGGGUGAAGCCAGAGGAAACUCUGGUGGAGGCUCGCAGCGGUUCUGACGUGCAAAUCGAUCGUCAAAUUUGGGCAUAGGGGCGAAAGACUAAUCGAACUAUCUAGUAGCUGGUUCCUGCCGAAGUUUCCCUCAGGAUAGCAGUAACGUUUUCAGUUUUAUGAGGUAAAGCGAAUGAUUAGAGGCCUGGGGGUUGAAACAACCUUCACCUAUUCUCAAACUUUAAAUAUGUAAGAAGUCCUUGUUACUUGAUUGAACGUGGACAGUUGAAUGUAUCGUUACUAGUGGGCCAUUUUUGGUAAGCAGAACUGGCGAUGCGGGAUGAACCGAACGCGGGGUUAAGGUGCCAGAAUAUACGCUCAUCAGACACCACAAAAGGUGUUAGUUCAUCUAGACAGCAGGACGGUGGCCAUGGAAGUCGGAAUCCGCUAAGGAGUGUGUAACAACUCACCUGCCGAAUGAACUAGCCCUGAAAAUGGAUGGCGCUCAAGCGUG